rnacentral:rRNA from 1 species
GAUGAACGCUGGCGGCGUGCCUAAUACAUGCAAGUCGAGCGAACGGACGAGAAGCUUGCUUCUCUGAUGUUAGCGGCGGACGGGUGAGUAACACGUGGAUAACCUACCUAUAAGACUUGGAUAACUUCGGGAAACCGGAGCUAAUACCGGAUAAUAUUUUGAACCGCAUGGUUCAAAAGUGAAAGACGGUCUUGCUGUCACUUAUAGAUGGAUCCGCGCUGCAUUAGCUAGUUGGUAAGGUAACGGCUUACCAAGGCAACGAUGCAUAGCCGACCUGAGAGGGUGAUCGGCCACACUGGAACUGAGACACGGUCCAGACUCCUACGGGAGGCAGCAGUAGGGAAUAUUCCGCAAUGGGCGAAAGCCUGACGGAGCAACGCCGCGUGAGUGAUGAAGGUCUUCGGAUCGUAAAACUCUGUUAUUAGGGAAGAACAUAUGUGUAAGUAACUGUGCACAUCUUGACGGUACCUAAUCAGAAAGCCACGGCUAACUACGUG